rfam:Dickeya dadantii 3937, complete genome.
ACAUCAGCCUGGUUACCACCACCAUUAUUAUUACCACCGGUACGACGAGUAACGGUGCGGGCUGACGCGUACAGAUGAAUCCAGAAAAAGCCCGCACUUCACAGUGCGGGCUUUUUUUUU